CCCUUAGAUGUUCUGGGCCGCACGCGCGCUACACUGAUGCAUUCAACGAGUUUCUUCCUGGUCCGAGAGGAAUGGGUAACCUUUUGAAAGUGCAUCGUGAUAGGGAUAGACUAUUGCAAUUAUUGGUCUUCAACGAGGAAUUCCUAGUAGACGUAGUUCAUCAGACUGCAUCGAUUACGUCCCUGCCCUUUGUACACACCGCCCGUCGCUACUACCGAUCGAGCGCCCUAGCGAGGUCGUCCGAUUGUCGCCGAGGCCGGCUUUCGCGAGCUGCGCAUCCGACGAAAAGGCGAUCGAACUCGAGCGCUUAGAGGAAGUAAAAGUCGUAACA
rnacentral:rRNA from 1 species